rnacentral:rRNA from 1 species
GUGGGGAAUAUUGGACAAUGGGGGCAACCCUGAUCCAGCCAUGCCGCGUGUGUGAAGAAGGCCUUAGGGUUGUAAAGCACUUUCAGUGGGGAGGAAGGCUUUGGGCUAAUACCCUGGAGUACUUGACGUUACCCACAGAAGAAGCACCGGCUAAUUUCGUGCCAGCAGCCGCGGUAAUACGAAGGGUGCAAGCGUUAAUCGGAAUUACUGGGCGUAAAGCGCGCGUAGGUGGUUAAGUAAGCGAUCUGUGAAAGCCCCGGGCUCAACCUGGGAAUUGCAGGUCGAACUGCUUGGCUAGAGUAUGGUAGAGGGGUGUGGAAUUCCAGGUGUAGCGGUGAAAUGCGUAGAUAUCUGGAGGAACAUCAGUGGCGAAGGCGACACCCUGGACCGAUACUGACACUGAGGUGCGAAAGCGUGGGUAGCGAACAGGAUUAGAAACCCGAGUAGUCC